rnacentral:rRNA from 1 species
CCCUUAGAUGGUCUGGGCGGCACGCGCGCUACAAUGAUGCAUUCAAAAAGUCUUCUGACCUUAGAAGGUUGGGUAUUCUCCAAAGUGCAUCGUGAUGGGAAUAGUUUAUUGCAAUUUUUAAUCUUGAACGAGGAAUUCCUAGUAAGUACAGGUCAUCAACUUGUGUUGAUUACGUCCCUGCCCUUUGUACACACCGCCCGUCGCUCCUACUGAUUGAGUGUCUCGGUGAAGUUCGUAGACCUCGUGAUCGCGGAUCACUGGGGGAAGCAAAAUGAACCUCGCGGUUUAGAGGAAGGAGAAGUCGUAACA